rnacentral:lncRNA from 1 species
UUUUUUUUUCUUUUUAGGGCCACAUCCAUGGCAUAUGGAAGUUGCCAGGCUAGGGGUCGAAUUGGAGCUGUAGCUGCCAGCCUACACCACAGCCAUAGCAACGCUGGAUCCUUAACCCACUGAGCAAAGCCAAGGAUCGAACCCAUAACCUCAUAGUUCCUAGUCAGAUUCGUUUCCACUGCACCACAACAGGAACUCCUAUUCAUCUAUUUUUAAUUUGGCUGAUUAUGCUUAGGUUUUAUAUCAAGUUAGUGUCUUGAUUAUUAUAAUUUUGCUAUAAGUUUUGGAAUCAGAAAGAAUUCCUCCAAAUUUGUUCUUCCUCUUAAAGAUUAUUUUGGCUAAUCUGGAUCUCUUAAAGUUCCAUAAGAACUUUAAGGAUGGCAAGUCAAUUUCUUAAAAGAAUCAGCACAGAUUUUAAUAAAAAUUGUGUUGGCUAUGUAGAUCAAUUUAAGAAGUGUUACCAUUUUAAUAAUAUUAAGUCUUCUAAUCCAUGAACACAAAUAUCUUUCAAUUUAUUUAAAUUUUCUUUAUAAUUUUUCACUGUUUUUCAGUUUUUAAAGUUUUGCACUUCCUUUGUUAAUAUAUUUCUAAGCAUUUUAUUAUUUUUUUGUGAAUAGAACUGUUUUUUAAAUUUUAUUUCCAAGUAGCUCAUGGCUAGUGUAUAAAAAUUGACUUUUCUAUGUUUAUCUUAUAUCCUACAACUUUGCUAAAUUAUUUAUUAACUCUAAUAGUAUUUUUGUGUAUUUGGAUUUUCUGUAUACAACAUUAUCUCAUCUGUGAAAAGAGAGUUUUACUUCUCUUCCAAUAUAGAUGUCUUUAAUCUCUUUAUUGCCUAAUUUGUUAUGUGCAGCCACUGAAAAAUUUACCUGCAUAACUAUCUAGUAAGCUGAUGAUUGGACAGUGCUUUCCUUAAAUGCCUUGAACUACAAAUCUCCUAGCCUUUGCUGAGAAGAUCUUUGUGUCUGUUGAGCAUGUCUUUAACACUCAGCCAGGCACUUUAAAUCUCUGUCUUAGCUUUUACUUGGACUUAUACAGAGCCUCAAAGUUAGCCAGAGGCAAAAGUUGAGGGCUUUAUCAGGUCCUUCCUGAGAAUGUAACGAGGCCUUCCCAUGUGUGUUUGUAGCUACCCGAGAAUGUAUUGUGGCUUAUCAAAUCCCCUGUUGAAAUUUCAUCCCCCAUCUUUUCUCUUAAGCUUUUGGUAAAUCUAUUGUAUACUCCAACUGUUAUCUAUCUCCCUGCCCCCCAGGAAGCUGAAAUGUUAAAACACUAGCCUGUAAUUAUUUUCAACAACAGCUCUCUGGAAGAAGGCUUUUAGAACUAGGUGAGCUCUGUAUCAUUCUAAAACUAGGUCUUACAGGGGAUCACAAAACUGAUAAUAUAAUAACAACUCUUUGGGAAUGAAGCUUUUCAAAUAGCUUCAAUUCCAUUCUACUUUCUCCAGGGGCUACCAAGCUGCCCCCAGAAUGUGGGCUGUUGUUUUUCAAGGCUACUCAAGCUGAAUGAUUGAGAAUGGGUCUAGUAUAAGUUAAAACAUGCCAAACCUUGCUGUUCAGUCAUUUUUCUUGAAUAAAUGCUCUGGCUUGCUUAAGGCUUUGGCAGUUUCAAGAGUUCUGAAAAAAAAAUGGUUGUGGUAUUUUGGCCAGUGUUUUCAUGAAAGAGAGGAUUUUGUGAAUUACUUACACUACAAUGCUAGCUGACACCACCCAUUGAAUCAGUUUUAAGUAUGAUUACAUUUAUUGGAUACAUUUCAUCUAUUGUAAUAUUAAAAUAUGAUAAAGUCUAUUUUUCUACUAGUUAAGGUAUACCAUUAGAAAUAAAAAGCUAAAAUAAUAGCAAUCUUUAACUGAAUAUAUAGUUCUAAAUUCAGUAUCUUUUAAUCCUCACAUGGUAGAUAUUAUCUUCAGGUUACAGAUGAAAAAGCAAAAGUCAAAAUACAAUUUCUUGACCAUUUCACAAAGAUAAUGUUGAAGCAAGAUUUUGAGCCUAAUUCUGUAUGCCUUCUAAGCUAAUUGUUUUCACCAUCAAAAUUUAAUUAUAAAACUAUCUUAGUGCUUAAAAAUCUUAUAUCUUGUGAACUAUUGUGACAAUAUAAAAUUUAGCUUUCAAUGAAACAGGUGCUCAAUACUCUGUGAACAGUUUUCCACAAUUUAAAUUGUGAAAUGGGGAAAUAAAAGAAUUGGACUACAUUUAUGUUAUUUUUAAUAAAUUCUAUUAUUUUAUUAGCUAAGAAUAGCCUUAUUAUCAUGUUCACUGAUGUAUCUCUAAUGCCUGGAAUAGUGUGCCUGGCUCAUAAUGAAUUAAUAUUCAUUAAUAAAUUAUGUAUUAAUUACCUCAUAUAGAUUAUUUAAUUAUUAAUAAAUAAUUAUAUACUGAAUUAGUUUAUUUUCAUUAUUUAUAGUGAUCGAAUAUAAGAAUAUAGCAGAUCAGAGAAAAAUUUUUCAUAAUGAACUGAGAUCUAUGGUUCAACAAAUAUUCAUGUUUAUGGUACUAAUUAAUGUGGAUUCUUAAAAUAGCACAGAAUAAAAAGUACGGAUUUAUCAAAAAUGUGAGAAUAUGUGUAAAAAUAACAUCAGAGAGAAAGUUGGUGUUAAAAUACACUUACUGAGGUUACAGGAUAUAUAAAAUUUUUCAGAAGGUAAAACAGAAUAUAGGUUCAAGAUCAUUGACAGUAAUGGUGAAGUUAAAUCAAUAAUAGCUGCUCUAUUUUUUUCUAAUGUUCUUUGGAAUUGCAUACAUUUCGAGAUCAUUUACACAAAAGAAAAUUAAUUUUUAAAUAGUUUUGACAUUACAUAUAUUUAAUAAAGAAAAUACUCAUUUAAAUCCAAUUUUAUAGAUCAAAGUCAGUUUAUUGAGUUUUUUUUUUUUCCUUGCAGAGCUGGUAGAUCUGUAAUGAUCAUUGAAAAUGACUUUUUUUCUGAAUAAAAGGUCAAUUUUAGAAUAAAUUCAUACAUCUCAUUAUGAGAAGGUCCUUAUAAAUAAAGGAAAAUAAUGAAUAGGUAAGGAUUAUGAGAUAUCUUGAUAUCAUUCUUGUACGCUGUACCUUAGUCUGAAAAUUAUAUAUAAAACAAAAUCAAAAGAACUAGAACAAAAGUAGUUUGGCAUAUUUUGGGAGUUCCCUGGUGGUGCAGAGGAUCCAGCACUGUCACUGUAGCAGCUUCAAUCCCUAGCCAAGGAACUUCCACAUGCCAAAAAAUAAAAAAAGACAUUUUUUAAUAUCUUUAAAUUGAUUAAAUGUUACUGCUUAUUAAGAAUUUAUCCAUUUAACAAGUUCAUAAUUUUCAUAUGAUUAAUGUUUCCAAGAAUGCUGUCCAUUCAGGUAGUAACAAGAAAUAAGGUUACAUUUUCUAAUUUAAUUUUUAAGUUUUCUUUAAAAAAUUAAACUUAAUAGUUACAUAAAUAACCAAGAUAAUUCAUAUCAAAUAGCAUUUUUCCUUCAGGAGUUUGAAGGAAAAGAGAAUGUUAAACCUAUUAGUUUUUAAUAUAAAUAAGCAAGCAGGUAGAAAAUGGUAGAAAUACUUUUGGAAUGAAGCUUUAGUAAUGGCAAGUUAAUUCCUGAAUAUUAAUUUGGCUAUUAGAUUUGGAGAUAUACUGGGAUAUAAAUAAUAUAUAUGACAUAUAUAUAAAUGAUAUAUAUAUAGAGAGAGAUAGAUAUAGAUGCAGAUAUAGAUACAUGGAUGUAAAUUUUAUCAGUCUUUCAAGGUAUCUUGCAUACCUUCUCUGUUUUCAAAAUCAAUGUCUUAACAGGCUUCUACUGAAUAUUUGUGAGCAACAUAUUGGAUAGCACAUAAGAUUACUAGAACAAUAAGCAGAUUGAGCAACUUUCCACUUGUACUAUUUUGGUUUUUUUUGCCAUUCAUUCAUGUCUUCUUUUUUUAUUUUUUAUUUUUUUGGUUGUUUUACUUUUUAAAAUUAUUUAAUGAAUCAUAUUACAUUUAUAGGUGUACAGCAAUCAUCACAACCAAACUUUAUAGCACGUCUAUCCCAAACCCUAGGUGCAUCCCCCCACCCACCAACCUGUCUCAUUUGGAAACCAUAAGAUUUUCAAAGUCUGUGAGGCAGUAUCUGUUCUGCAAAGAAAGUCAGUCUGUCCUUUUUUCAGAUUCCACAUGUAAGUGAUAACAUUUGAUGUUGUUGUCUCACUGUCUGACUGACUUCACUUAGCAUGAUAAUUUCUAUGUCCAUCCAUGUUGCUGCAAGUGCUAUUAUUUCUUUCCUUUUAAUGGCUGAUUAAUAUUCCAUUGUGUACCACAACUUCUUUAUCUAUUCCUCUGUCGAUGGACAUUUAGGUUGUUUCCAUGUCUUGGCUAUUGCAUAUAGUGCUGAAAUGAAUAUUGGAAUACAUGUGUCUAUUUGAGUCAUAGUUUUCUUUGGAUAAAUGCCCAGGUGUGGGAUUGCUGGAUCAAAUGGUAGUUCUAUUUUUGGUUUUCUGAGGAAUCUCCAUACUGUUUUCCACAGAGGUUGCAACAAUUUACAUUCCCACCAACAGUGUAAUAGGGUUCCCUUUUUUCCACACCCUCUCCAGCACUUAUUGUUUGUAGACUUUUUGAUGAGGGUAAUUCUGGCUGAUGCAAGGUGGUAAAGCAUAGUGGUUUUGAUUUGCAUGUCUCUAAUCAUGAGUGAUGUUGAACAUCUUUUCAUGUGUUUUUUGGCCAUCCGUAUGUCUUCUUUGGAGACUUGUCUGUUUAGAUCUUCUGCCCAUGUUUUGAUGGGGUUGGGUGUUUAUAAAUUUUGGAUAUAUAAAAAAAAUGAGUUCCCAUCGUGGCACAGAGGAAAUGAAUCUGACUAGGAACUACGAGGCUGCGGGUUUGAUCCCUGGCCUCGCUCAGUGGGUUAAGGACCCAGCAUUGCCCUGAGCUGUGGUGUAGGUUACAGAUGUGGCUUGGAUCUGACAUCGCCAUGGCUCUGGCAUAGGCCAGCAGCAACAGCUCCAAUUAGACCCCUAGCCUAGGAACCUCCAUAUGCCAUGGAUAUGGCCCUAAAAAA